rnacentral:rRNA from 1 species
UGAACGCUAGCUACAGGCUUAACACAUGCAAGUCGAGGGGAAACGACAUCGAAAGCUUGCUUUUGAUGGGCGUCGACCGGCGCACGGGUGAGUAACGCGUAUCCAACCUGCCCACCACUUGGGGAUAACCUUGCGAAAGUAAGACUAAUACCCAAUGAUAUCUCUAGAAGACAUCUGAAAGAGAUUAAAGAUUUAUCGGUGAUGGAUGGGGAUGCGUCUGAUUAGCUUGUUGGCGGGGUAACGGCCCACCAAGGCGACGAUCAGUAGGGGUUCUGAGAGGAAGGUCCCCCACAUUGGAACUGAGACACGGUCCAAACUCCUACGGGAGGCAGCAGUGAGGAAUAUUGGUCAAUGGACGAGAGUCUGAACCAGCCAAGUAGCGUGCAGGAUGACGGCCCUAUGGGUUGUAAACUGCUUUUAUAAGGGAAUAAAGUGAGUCUCGUGAGACUUUUUGCAUGUACCUUAUGAAUAAGGACCGGCUAAUUCCGUGCCAGCAGCCGCGGUAAUACGGAAGGUCCGGGCGUUAUCCGGAUUUAUUGGGUUUAAAGGGAGCGUAGGCCGGAGAUUAAGCGUGUUGUGAAAUGUAGACGCUCAACGUCUGCACUGCAGCGCGAACUGGUUUCCUUGAGUACGCACAAAGUGGGCGGAAUUCGUGGUGUAGCGGUGAAAUGCUUAGAUAUCACGAAGAACUCCGAUUGCGAAGGCAGCUCACUGGAGCGCAACUGACGCUGAAGCUCGAAAGUGCGGGUAUCGAACAGGAUUAGAUACCCUGGUAGUCCGCACGGUAAACGAUGGAUGCCCGCUGUUGGUCUGAAUAGGUCAGCGGCCAAGCGAAAGCAUUAAGCAUCCCACCUGGGGAGUACGCCGGCAACGGUGAAACUCAAAGGAAUUGACGGAA